GCUAGCGUGGCAAAGCCAGGUAAGUGCAAAAGGCUUAAGCCCUUUGAUCAGAGGUUCAAAUCCUCUCUCUAGCC
rnacentral:tRNA from 2 species